GCUUUGAUACCAUAUGAAACAACCCGGGUCAGGGUCAAAUCCCGAGUUCGGAACAAAUCUUGGGUCAAAUCCCAAGUCCGAAUCGAAUCAAAUCCAUCCAAAUAAGGCCUCAAACCACUGGCCCAAUAGUAUCUUCUUGGGUCAUCUAGCCCACCACAGGCUCCCAAAAGGUCAUGACUUGAAGGUACUAUUGGUAGUAACUUUAUUUCCUUAUAUGUAGACAAAUUUUUCCCCCUAUCUUUCGAUGUGGGACUGGGGUGUUACACCUGACCUGUUCAAUACAAUCAUUAAUCUAUACUUUAGACUUUCUUAACCAAUUAGAAUGCCCUUUAUAAUAACAUGAAAGAUGAUCGAGGAAACAAAACAAAACAAAAACAGCCAGAGUGAAAAUCCAGUGAAGAAGAAAACACAUAAAAUUCAAGUAU
rnacentral:lncRNA from 1 species